rnacentral:tRNA from 1 species
CUUCGGAUGGCAGAGAGGUAAUGUACUGACCUGAGCUGACGCAAUAUGGCCAAUCGGUGGUUCGAUUCCACCUCCGAAGG